UACGGGGGGAGCAAGCGUUGUUCGGAUUUACUGGGCGUAAAGGGCGCGUAGGCGGCCAGCACAAGUCAGUUGUGAAAUCUCCGGGCUUAACUCGGAAAGGUCAACUGAUACUGUGCGGCUAGAGUGCGGAAGGGGCAACUGGAAUUCUCGGUGUAGCGGUGAAAUGCGUAGAUAUCGAGAGGAACACCUGCGGCGAAGGCGGGUUGCUGGGCCGACACUGACGCUGAGGCGCGAAAGCUAGGGGAGCGAACGGG
rnacentral:rRNA from 1 species